rnacentral:rRNA from 1 species
UCCAGACUCCUACGGGAGGCAGCAGUGGGGAAUAUUGCACAAUGGGGGAAACCCUGAUGCAGCGACGCCGCGUGAGCGAUGAAGUAUUUCGGUAUGUAAAGCUCUAUCAGCAGGGAAGAAAAUGACGGUACCUGACUAAGAAGCCCCGGCUAACUACGUGCCAGCAGCCGCGGUAAUACGUAGGGGGCAAGCGUUAUCCGGAUUUACUGGGUGUAAAGGGAGCGUAGACGGUGAAGCAAGUCUGAAGUGAAAGGCGGGGGCUCAACCCCCGGACUGCUUUGGAAACUGUUUGACUGGAGUGCAGGAGAGGUAAGUGGAAUUCCUAGUGUAGCGGUGAAAUGCGUAGAUAUUAGGAGGAACACCAGUGGCGAAGGCGGCUUACUGGACUGUAACUGACGUUGAGGCUCGAAAGCGUGGGGAGCAAACAGGAUUAGAUACCCCGGUACGA